rnacentral:rRNA from 1 species
AACGGCCAUGCCAUGCUGAAUAUACCGGUUCUCGUUAGAUCACCGAAGUCAAGCAUCAUUGGGCGCGGCCAGUACUUGGGUGGGUGACCAACUGGGAACACCGUGUGCCGUU